UACGUAGGGUGCAAGCGUUGUCCGGAAUUAUUGGGCGUAAAGAGCUCGUAGGCGGUCUGUCGCGUCGGAUGUGAAAAUCCAGGGCUCAACCCUGGACCUGCAUUCGAUACGGGCAGACUAGAGUCCGGAAGAGGAGAGUGGAAUUCCUGGUGUAGCGGUGAAAUGCGCAGAUAUCAGGAAGAACACCCGUGGCUAAGGCGGCUCUCUAGUACGGUACUGACGCUGAGACGCGAAAGCGUGGGGAGCGAACAGG
rnacentral:rRNA from 1 species